GACGAACGCUGGCGGCGUGCUUAACACAUGCAAGUCGAACGGUGAAGCGCCUUCCUUUUUGGUGGGUGUGGAUGAGUGGCGAACGGGUGAGUAACACGUGAGUAACCUGCCCCCUUCUUCUGGAUAACCGCAUGAAAGUGUGGCUAAUACGGGAUAUUCUGGGUCUGUCGCAUGAUGGGUCUGGGAAAGAUAUUGUUUCGGUGGGGGAUGGGCUCGCGGCCUAUCAGCUUGUUGGUGGGGUGAUGGCCUACCAAGGCGGUGACGGGUAGCCGGCCUGAGAGGGUGGACGGUCACACUGGGACUGAGACACGGCCCAGACUCCUACGGGAGGCAGCAGUGGGGAAUAGUGCACAAUGGGCGCAAGCCUGAUGCAGCGACGCCGCGUGAGGGAUGGAGGCCUUCGGAUUGUGAACCUCUUUCGCCAGUGAAGCAGGCCUGCCUCGUUUGUGGGUGGGUUGACGGUAGCUGGAGAAGAAGCGCCGGCUAACUACGUG
rnacentral:rRNA from 1 species